rnacentral:lncRNA from 14 species
GCACAUAUUCGAAACGGGCCUGCACCUCCUUACAUGGGAAAGGCCAUGCCGUAGAAACGAACCAAGAAAGAAAAGCUGAGGAAACUGGGUUACAGAGGGUACGGGGGGGAUGCUGCGUGCGGGGCCUGAGCAGAGCUAGGCCAGACUCCUCCCCGGCCCUGGCAGGGACCCCCUUCCCACCACAGGCCGCAGGUCCCCCCGCGCCGCCCGCCGAGGCAAAGGGAGGCCNNNNNNNNNNNNNNNNNNNNCUCCUCGCCCCGGGUCACGCCGCCCUACCCGGCUGAGAGAAGGACUUGGGAGGCGAGCGGCUCCGCCGGGGAGGGCAGCGCAGCGCGAUCGGCCGCUCCCUCCGGGCCAUCGUUUUUCCAGAAAUUGCCUCAAGGAAGCUUCCUUAUGUAGGAAAACUGUGCAAGAAACACAGUGUGCUUUCUGGCAACU